rnacentral:rRNA from 1 species
AGCGAACGUUAGCGGCGGGCCUAACACAUGCAAGUCGAACGCGAAAGGUCUUCGGACUGAGUAGAGUGGCGCACGGGUGAGUAACACGUAGGUAAUCUACCCUUUGGCGGGGGAUAACGUUCCGAAAGGAGCGCUAAUACCGCAUAAGACCACGGAGUCUCCGGACGCUGUGGGAAAAGGUGGCCUCUUCUUGAAAGCUAUCACCGAAGGAUGAGCCUGCGUCCCAUCAGCUAGUUGGUAAGGUAAUGGCUUACCAAGGCGAAGACGGGUAGCUGGUUUGAGAGAAUGAUCAGCCACACUGGCACUGGAACACGGGGCCAGACUCCUACGGGAGGCAGCAGUGAGGAAUAUUGGGCAAUGGGCGAAAGCCUGACGCAGCGACGCCGCGUGGGGGAUGAAGGUUUUCGGAUUGUAAACCCCUUUCAUGAGGAAAGAUAAAGUGGGUAACCACUUAGACGGUACUCAAGAAGAAGCCACGGCUAACUCGUGCCAGCAGCCGCGGUAAAGUCUAGCA